UAGGGAAUCUUCGGCAAUGGGGGCAACCCUGACCGAGCAACGCCGCGUGAGUGAAGAAGGUUUUCGGAUCGUAAAGCUCUGUUGUAAGUCAAGAACGGGUGUGAGAGUGGAAAGUUCACACUGUGACGGUAGCUUACCAGAAAGGGACGGCUAACUACGUGCCAGCAGCCGCGGUAAUACGUAGGUCCCGAGCGUUGUCCGGAUUUAUUGGGCGUAAAGCGAGCGCAGGCGGUUUGAUAAGUCUGAAGUUAAAGGCUGUGGCUCAACCAUAGUUCGCUUUGGAAACUGUCAAACUUGAGUGCAGAAGGGGAGAGUGGAAUUCCAUGUGUAGCGGUGAAAUGCGUAGAUAUAUGGAGGAACACCGGUGGCGAAAGCGGCUCUCUGGUCUGUAACUGACGCUGAGGCUCGAAAGCGUGGGGAGCGAACAGGAUUAGAUACCCUGGUAGUCCAUGCCGUAAACGAUGAGUGCUAAGUGUUGGGAGGCUUCCGCCUCUCAGUGCUGCAGCUAACGCAUUAAGCACUCCGCCUGGGGAGUACGACCGCAAGGUUGAAAC
rnacentral:rRNA from 1 species